rnacentral:rRNA from 1 species
UACGUAGGGGGCAAGCGUUGUCCGGAUUUAUUGGGCGUAAAGAGCGUGUAGGCGGCCAGACAGGUCAGCUGUGAAAACUCGAGGCUCAACCUCGAGACGUCGGUUGAAACCGUCUGGCUAGAGUCCGGGAGAGGGAUGCGGAAUUCCAGGUGUAGCGGUGAAAUGCGUAGAUAUCUGCAGGAACACCCGUGGCGAAAGCGGCGCGCUGGGACGGUACUGACGCUGAGACGCGAAAGCGUGGGGAGCGAACAGG